rnacentral:lncRNA from 1 species
UGCUCGUCUCUAGAUCUGCAAGUGUUGAUCGGGAUUAAACACGUGUUACUAUAUGAUCCAAUCGCAGCUUACCGCCCAAAAUUGAUGACAUAAGUUGAAUGAUUUUCUUCUAGAUUUGCUGCUUAUUUGGACGUGUAUUACAUGAACACUUUUUGUUUAUAGGAUCAAUCGUGCAUUGGUGAGUUGAUAGGUAUUUUAUCUUUUGAUAUUAGAUUUGAUUUUUAUUUACUUAUUUCCUGUCUUAUUUUUAUUGAAAUGUUCACGUCAGUAUCAUCCUUUCUUUACUUUCAGCAUUGUCCAAAAUACUAUUCAUGUCCAUAUAUUGAAGAAAACAUUUAUUGACCGAAUAUUUUGCUUCAUAAAGGGGGCGGUAUGUUCU